AGGGUUUGAUUAUGGCUCAGGACGAACGCUGGCGGCGUGCCUAAUACAUGCAAGUCGAACGCUUUUUCUUUCACCGGAGCUUGCUCCACCGAAAGAAAAAGAGUGGCGAACGGGUGAGUAACACGUGGGUAACCUGCCCAUCAGAAGGGGAUAACACUUGGAAACAGGUGCUAAUACCGUAUAACACUAUUUUCCGCAUGGAAGAAAGUUGAAAGGCGCUUUUGCGUCACUGAUGGAUGGACCCGCGGUGCAUUAGCUAGUUGGUGAGGUAACGGCUCACCAAGGCCACGAUGCAUAGCCGACCUGAGAGGGUGAUCGGCCACACUGGGACUGAGACACGGCCCAG
rnacentral:rRNA from 1 species